rnacentral:rRNA from 1 species
UUUAUUAGAAGAGACGCAUUUAUUAGAUAAAAAGCCAGUUCAUGCUUUUACAGUAUGAAAAUUGGUGAUUUAUAAUAACUUAGCAAAUCGCAAAGUGAAAACAGGCGAUAAAUCAUUCAAGUUUCUGACCUAUCAGCUUUCGACGGUAUGGUAUUGGCUUACCGUGGCAGUGACGGUUAACGGGGGAUUAGGGUUCGAUUCCGGAGAGGGAGCCUGAGAAACGGCUACCACAUCUAAGGAAGGCAGCAGGCGCGCAAAUUACCCAAUUCUAACAGUUUGAGAGAGGUAGUAACAAGAAAUAACAAUACAAGGCAGUUAAAAUGCUUUGUAAUUGGAAUGAUAGAAAUUUAAACCCUUUUUAAAGUAUCAAUUGGAGGGCAAGUCUGGUGCCAGCAGCCGCGGUAAUUCCAGCUCCAAUAGCGUAUAUUAAAAUUGUUGCAGUUAAAAAGCUCGUAGUUGAAGUUCUGCUGAAAGUAACCGGUCUGCUUUUAAUAAAAGUGGUAUCUUGGUAUGUAUUUAGCAAUGAUGUCCUUUGAAGUGUUUUUUACUUUAUUGUAAUAAAGCAUAUUCAGGACUUUUACUU